UGGUUUUCGGAUUCUGGCCGACAGCCAGAGCUACGGCACUUGAAAUAGAAUUCAGCCAAACACGGCAGACAAGUCAGGCAUGUUUGGAAUGAGUCCACAACACUCCUGAUUGGUUAAUAUAAACGUCAUCGAAGAAACCUGCCAAUGUCCGCGCCUGUCGUUCACAUUUGAAACAUCCACGUCAGUUUGAGCGGGUCUCCUCCUGCGAGCUACAGCUCUCUGUGUGUCUGCUGCAGGAGUUUAUGGAUUAAUAUCGGGAUCGUUUUACAUCUACACGUUAAAUAUGAGCAUCGGGACGUCAACAAAGAACAGAAGACCUGAGAUCUGAGCACCAGUGGACAGUGAGGACUAUGGAAGAGAAGAUGUGAUGGUUUUGUGUGGAAAGCUGCUGAUGGCAGACUGUCCCUCAUCAGUCUCUCCAGGCAGCACCCAGCUAUUCUUCCAUCUUGCAGAUGAAAAUACUUUGAUAUCUGACACCUGGACACAGCAGGAACCUACGCCAGGAUCCUGUUUGUGGACUUCAGCUCUGCCUUCAACACAACCCUCUGGCUGGAGGCUGCGCUCCAUCAGGACCAACACCUCUCUCCAUCAGGACCAGAACCUCUCUCCAUCAGGACCAGAACCUCUCUCCAUCAGGACCAACACCUCUCUCCAUCAGGACCAGAACCUCUCUCCAU